GUUGCACAUUUAAUAUGCUGUUCAAAUCUGGGGAAUACUGACCUUAAAUCAGCAUGGUUGAAGUCCCCAGCUAUAAUGUGCACUGCGUUUGGAUGGGAGUUCUGCUGGUUGCUUAUUGUCUUGUGCAGCUCCUCCAUGGCCGAGUUAGCAUUAGCAUCGGGUGGUACAUACACGGCCGUUACCAUGACAACAGUAAACUCGCGAGGUAUGUAGACGGGUCUGCACUUCACAGUCAAAUAUUCCAAAUCCGGGGAACAAUGGCUGUCUACAAUCUUUGUGUUUUUGCACCAGCUGUCAUUGGUGUAGAUGCAUAAACCCCCUCCUUUGAUCUUACCGGAGUGGCCGUUCCUGUCGUGACGGUGGACCGUGCAGCCUGCUAGCUCAAUAGCCGAGUCCGGAAUUGAUGGCUGCAGCCAAGUCUCUGUGAGUAAUAUUAUGCUACUGUCCCGUACACACUUGUUGACUGCAAUCUGUAAUCUCAGUUCGUCGAUUUUGUUGGUUAUGGACCUGACGUUAGAGAGGAAAAUACUCGGAAGCGGUGGCUUAAAUGGCUGUUUCUUUAGCCGUGCUAGUGGGCCCGCCCUGCAGCCACGCUUUUGCCUCCUUUGUUUACGUUUCCUCUUUGUCUUGCCGCUGGGAAGAACCAACCACGGAGACCCUGGAGCUCUUAUUAUGUCCUCCGGAAUGCCGUGAAAAUGGUGGUAGUCCGAUGUAAUGCUCCUUGCACAGCGUAAUCCCAAACUCAGAAGGUCCUGACGACUCAGGUUGGAUAAGGGCUCAGCUCUUACCCAGAGGCUCGCAGACGAGCUCGACAUUAGCUCGUCACUUCUGGGGAAGCCGGAUUGCAGGAUGCUCGUUGUACUUGUUUGUGUGCUGGGAGAAGUGUGAGUUUUAGACUGAGACAGCUCCAAGCAGAUCAAAGCUCUGCAGGAGGUGUAGUAAAGACAGGGUGUGGUGGUCUGAGGGUCGGAAAGGCAGACUAAUGGAUAUUAUACUAAUGGGCAAAGGCAGUACGACUAUUCAGGCAAUUAGAACAGGAAAGAGGGCGAGUGAGGAUUGGUGAUGAUGGACCUGAGUGACUGCCAUCACUCAGACCCCUGAACUAAUGAACACAGAAGAUACAGACCAUCAUCUUCGCUGGACACAAAGAUCUUUUUUUUUUACUUUUAAGCGGAAAUAUUUUCCCCUGCCACCUGGAAAUAUUGGAAACAGAAGAUGUUAUGCUGUUUGUUACAUCGGGAGACCUAUUGUGUAGAUUAUUAUCUUGUCGAAUAGUUGUGGUAAAUAUUUCCCACAAAUUACAAAAAUUACAAACGCACACAUUACAAUAAUAAAAGAUGUAUUUUUGUCAUUUUUGGAAUCAGAAAAUUCCCAUUUAUAAAUUUAAAUAUAUUUGGAGAUACCUAUCAUCAAGGAAAGUUUAUAUAAGAAUCAUAGGGGCUUUAGUUUGUAGCAUAAACAUGGCUCAAGAUACAGUAUGAAAACACUGACACCACAAAGGCAGCCAGCAGAUGUCAUGGUUUUCGAUUUUUGUUUGUUUUUGGAUGUCACUGUACACCAGCAGUUAGUUUUUCAAGCCAUCCUUGCAUCUUCUGUUGAAUUCUUUACUUUUUUUUCUUUGCUUUUGCAUAUUUGCAUGUUUGCCUUUGUGUGUACACCUUAUUUGUUUCAGUAGCUGCCUCUGUGUGUUGGUUACUCAAGAUUUGGAUUUUGGACUUUUACUUGGUCCUGGUUUCCUGCACUUCAUUCUUCUCCUGCUCCAACAAUUACAUUGGGAGAUAAAUUAUGAAACAUCUCUAAUUCAUUUUCUCUAUGCAUUGGCUAAGAUAUCAUGUCCAAAUCCUUCAUCAAUCAAGUGGAACUGUGGUUUAAAAAGCAAAAAAAUAUUUCUUCUUCUACUAUCUGAAAAUGUCAUUCUGAAUUUGUGCUAAAUAGGAUCAAAUUAAGUUAUUAGUUGCUUUUAAAAACUUUAUAUCUGCAGAGAUAUUCGACAGGCAAAAUAAUCAUCAUUCAGUCUCACAGAGUAAAUGUCAUAAAUUAGUCAACAAUACAAUCUCUGUCUAAACUGUGCCGUAAACACAGGUGUUAAUCUCCCAGCAGCGAGUACAAAAUUUAAACCGCAUGAUGCAAGACUCUCCAGUCGUGCAGCGCUGGGCGAGUUUAGUUAAUGGGAGAGGUUUUGACACUCGCACCAACUUUCAUUACAGGCAGUGAAAUGCUGGAUGCAA